rnacentral:rRNA from 1 species
CAAUAGCGUAUAUUAAAGUUGUUGCAGUUAAAAAGCUCGUAGUUGGAUUUCUGGUUGGAGCGACCGGUCGGGCGUUGAUUCGUCUGCACUGGAGUCGGUUUUGGCCAUCCUCUAGGAAAGUGCGUCUGGUAUUAAGUUAUCGGGCGUAUGAUCCUGGUCUUUUACUGUGAAAAAAUUAGAGUGUUUAAAGCAGGCCUUCGCCUUGAAUACAUUAGCAUGGAAUAAUAAGAUAGGACUUUGGUCUAUUUUGUUGGUUUGCAGACCGAAGUAAUGAUUAAUAGGGAUAGUUGGGGGUAUUUAUAUUCCGAUGUCAGAGGUGAAAUUCUUAGAUUUUCGGAAGAUAAACUUAUGCGAAAGCAUUUACCAAGGAUGUUUUCAUUAA